UGUACGCGAGUCAUUGGGACUAGCGAAACCUAAAGGCGAAAUGAAAGUGAAGGUCGAUCUCGCGUCGACCGAGGGAGGAUGGGCCGCGUGCAAGCGCGGCCCCGCACUCCCGGGGCGUCUCAUUCUCAUCGCGAGAAGAGGCGCACCCAGAGCGUACACGCUGGGACCCGAAAGAUGGUGAACUAUGCCUGGUCAGGACGAAGUCAGGGGAAACCCUGAUGGAGGUCCGAAGCGAUUCUGACGUGCAAAUCGAUCGUCGGAACUGGGUAUAGGGGCGAAAGACUAAUCGAACCAUCUAGUAGCUGGUUCCCUCCGAAGUUUCCCUCAGGAUAGCUGGCGCUCGCUUUUGCGAGUCUCAUCUGGUAAAGCGAAUGAUUAGAGGCAUUGGGGUCGAAACGGCCUCAACCUAUUCUCAAACUUUAAAUGGGUGAGAUCUCCGGCUUGCUUGAACGGUGAAGCCGCGAGAUCGGAUCAGAGUGCCAAGUGGGCCAUUUUUGGUAAGCAGAACUGGCGCUGUGGGAUGAACCAAACGCAGAGUUAAAGCUCCUAAAUUGACGCUCAUGGGAUACCAUGAAAGGCGUUGGUAACUUAAGACAGCAGGACG
rnacentral:rRNA from 1 species